GCCAACGUUCAUACUGCGCUGAAGAACACCAGUUCCCGUCCGAUCACUGAAGUCAACCUGCGGAAGGCGCGAUUAGUACUUGGAUGGGUGACCACCUGGGAAAACCGCGUAAUGUUGGCA
rnacentral:rRNA from 1 species